GAUGAACGCUGGCGGCGUGCUUAAUACAUGCAAGUCGAGCGAACGGACGAGAAUCUUGCUUCUCUGAUGUUAGCGGCGCACGUGUGAGUAACACGUGUAUAACCUACCUAUAAUACUGGGAUAACUUCGGGAAUCCGGAUCUUAUACCAUAUAAGAUUUUGAACCGCAUGGUUCAAAAGUGAAAUACGGUCUUGCUGUCACGUAUCGAUGGAUCCGCGCUGCAUUAGCUAGUUGUGAAGCUAACGGCCUAUCAAGGCAACGAGGCAUAGCCGACCUCAGAGGGUGAUCGGCCACACUGGAGCUGAGACACGGUCCAGACUACUACGGGAGGCAGCAGUAGGGAAUCUUCCGCAAUAGGCGAAAGCAUGACGGAGCAACGCCGCGUGAGUGAUGAAGGUCUUCGGAUCGUAAAACUCUGUUAUUAGGGAAGAACAUAUGUGUAAGUAACUGUGCACAUCUUGACGGUAACUAAUAAGAAAGCACCGGCUAACUACGUG
rnacentral:rRNA from 1 species